CUCCGGCUUCUCCUCCUCCUCUUUCGCCUCCUCCUCUUCUUUCGGCUUCUCUUCCUCCUCCUCCUUCUCCUCUUCCUUCUCCUCCUCCUCCUCUUCUUCCUCCUCCUCUUUCCCCACCUCCUCCCGCUCUGCCACCUCCUCCUCCUCCUCCUCCACCACCACCACCACCACCACUCCCUCCGGGGCACCCGGGUCCCUGCAGAGUCCCCGGCCGGCGCAGCCUCCGCAGCGGCCUCCCGGAGCCCGAGCCUGCUGAGCCCGAGCUGGUAGGACGGACGGACGGACAGACAGGCGCUCCGAUUUCUUGCGCCUAGCGCUCCGCUGCUGCUGCCCCCGCGCCCCCGCGGCCCCGUGUCAGGGGAGCUGGGAUCGCCCCGAGAGCACCGCGAGGACACGGCAAGUGCUACCGCAAGUUAAAGCAGUCUCCAUGGCUCAGGUUGGAAAUUGCGCCAUCCUGGGAAUUCCUGCUGGCCUCCAAAUCAUUGCUCGCAGAGGGUGCCCCCACUUUCCAGUGGUUUCCAUCAAGCAUCUCUGUCACCUGAGGUAGGUGAGAAGACAGAGCCCCAGUGACCACACCCCGACCCUCCACCACCAGAAUCUGCCAGGAACGGAGAAGGAGGGCAGCCUGCAGCUCUCGCCUUCUCGCCACCACCUGCCACCAACAUGGAGCCAGAUCUGUGCAGCUUCCAUCUCAGCCCGUGCCCUGAACUCCCCCCACGGCGUCCCCCGAAACAACAUGGGCUGUAAGGAUAUUUCACACCAGUUCAUUUCAUACUUCAUUUACUCUAUUAAA